rnacentral:rRNA from 1 species
AUACGGAGGGUGCGAGCGUUAUUCGGAAUUACUGGGCGUAAAGGGCGCGUAGGCGGCCGAAUUUGUCCGAUGUGAAAGCCCGGGGCUUAACCUCGGAAGUGCAUUGGAGACGGUUCGGCUUGAGUGUCGGAGAGGGUGGGGGAAUUCCCGGUGUAGAGGUGAAAUUCGUAGAUAUCGGGAGGAAUACCGGUGGCGAAGGCGACCACCUGGCCAAAUACUGACGCUGAGGCGCGAAGGCGUGGGGAGC